rnacentral:rRNA from 1 species
UACGGAGGAUCCGAGCGUUAUCCGGAUUUAUUGGGUUUAAAGGGUGCGUAGGCGGGUCUUUAAGUCAGGGGUGAAAACUUGCAGCUUAACUGUAAACUUGCCUUUGAAACUGAAGGUCUUGAGUGUAAACAAGGUAGGCGGAAUGUGUUGUGUAGCGGUGAAAUGCAUAGAUAUAACACAGAACCCCGAUUGCGAAGGCAGCUUACCGGGCUACAACUGACGCUGAGGCACGAAAGCGUGGGGAUCAAACAGG